rnacentral:rRNA from 1 species
GACGAACCUUGCGAACGUUGUGCGGAAUAACUGGGCUUAAAGGGAGCGUAGACGGGUCCGCCAGUCUGUGGUGAAAUCCUCCCGCUCAACGGGAGAACUGCCGUGGAUACUGCGGACCUCGAGGAAGAUAGGGGCGUGCGGAACAGUUGGUGGAGCGGUGAAAUGCGUUGAUAUCAACUGGAACUCCGGUGGCGAAGGCGGCACGCUGGGUCUUUUCUGACGCUGAGGCACGAAAGCUAGGGGAGCAAACGGG